GGCACGAACAUAAAAUAAGUUUAUAAUACAUUACUAAAUAAUUUAACAUGAAUUUUUUUAAAAAAAUUAUUUAAUGUCAAAUAUAUAAUUAUUUAAAUAUAAAAUUUAGAUAAAAUAAAUUUUUUUUUUCUGAUGCUAAGGAGGGAAAGACUCAAAAGGAACAAGCUCACCGGAUCCAGCAAGGAGGAGGCCACGCUCUAUCCUGCUGCAGUGUCCCUACAGGUUCGAGGCCAAAACAUCGAACACGGCAACAGCAAUAUCAUGAUACACAGGGAAGCCAGACUCUCAGCCACUUGAUUAGCUUCAAGGUAGCGAUGCAUCAAGGUCACUUGCCAAGCACGAGGUAGAAAACUCUGACACUGACAAAUCAGAUUACCAAACCGAAGAUGGGAGGAACCAACACCAGUCACCAAAGCUAAAGAAGCUUGAGAAUCCAUUUCCACUUGUAUCUUGCAAAAGAAAAUUUAUAAGAUCCUCCCAGUUCCCUAGCUUUUAAUACAUCAUAUAUUCACAAGAAUCAAUUAUCCCAUGUUCACAAAAAUUAAUUAUCCCAUAAAUUAUGAGAUGUAAAUCUAUCUUAUUGUAACAGGAAGAGCAUGUGCUACUGGAAUAUCUAAUAAAAUAUCCUUGCAAAAUUCACUCUCGGCUUGAGGCCACGAACCAAAGCUUGUAAUUCAGCUUGCAUUGGGUUACAAAUGUAUAAUCUAACCACAAGGCCUCUUUUCCAUAAGUCCAAGUGAUCCCGAGUCACAACUCCACCACCACUACGGUCCGGAUUACCCUUACUAGCGCCAUCAAUGUUAAGCUUAACCCAUCUCAGCUCCGGCAUCUUCCAAACUACUGAACAAACUGAUUUAAGAGGGGAAAGAGCCCCCCCCCUCCGCACAUGUCCCAAGCCGGAGCAUUAAAGCUAACCUGGCUGCGAAUCAGCCUUAGCUACCCUUCCAAUGGCACAGUAGAACCGUUAAAAACAAAUUCAUUAGGCCACUUCCAAACCAGCCAAAGGGAAAUACACGGCAACUGUAAAGGAUCGGCAUCCCCCAAACCACCAUGUUCAACCCAUCACUUUUCAAGAACCAAUCAUUCUCAUGAAAAGAGAGAGAGAGAGAGAAUCACAGGUCCAAAUUCUCUCCCAAAACAACUGAUCAGAAGGACCACCCAUAAGAAC
rnacentral:misc_RNA from 1 species